UAGUUUAUGCAACAAGUUGCAAAAAGAAGAUUUUUUCAGCACGAGUUGUACAUUUAUCCAACGAGGUUUACCGAGUUGGAUAAAUACGACGAGUGCUGAAAAAAUCAAGUUUUGCAACGAGUUGCUUACAACAUUUUUUGCAAUUCCGAAAAACGCUUUUUGAAUGAAAUUUUAUGUCAAACAUUCAUGUGUUUAGUAAAUUCAUCGUUCAAAACAAAACAAUAUUGAAAAAUGUUACUUUUCGAUACUAGUGCUGAAAAGUAUUAAUUUUCCAUUCUGUUAUUUUUGGUAGGGAAAAGUAGGCCGUUUCGUUUCUCCAGAA